rnacentral:tRNA from 1 species
GGAAUUGUGGCUCAGUGGUAGAGUGCUUGCCUCAUAUGCAGGAGGCACUGGGUUCAAUCCCCGGUACCA